CACGUUCAGCCAUAGAAUCUAAUGGGCGGGAGCAAAGCUGGAGAUUGGGUGACUAGGCUAGCGGUUGAUGAAGCAGGAAUAGAGCAGGUCGCUGGAGCCUGAGCAGACGUCAGGGCUUGUCAGCCUUUCUGAGAGCUCCUUUGCUGGCUGGGUGAAGUCACAGAGAGCCUAAGCAGAGGGUGCCAGUUCUGGCCUUCCUGGAGAAAUCUUAGUUGAGAUGGAUGUCUGAGCUGGUGGACGUUGCCCUCGUGUCAGGCCAGUCUAGGAGUCACAGCAAUAUUUGGACCUGGGUUAAAAUUGUUUCAUCUCAUCUCACUUUUUCAGCAACGUGGACCAGCGUGGGCUCAGGAUUGUGAGGUCACCCAAGCCAUGUGGAACUGUGAGUCCAUGACAUCUCUUUUUCUUCAUAAAUUGCUCAGUCUUGGAUAUGUCUUUAUUAGCAGUGUGAGAAUAGACUAAUACACAGAGAGAGGGAGAGAGAGUUGGGGGGGGAGACAAACACACACACACACACAGAGACAGAGAGAGAGAGAGAGAGAGAGAGCGCCUUAGGAAGGACAGACUAGGAGCUCCCAGAAAGACGGAUGGGCUGAGUUGACUCCUGCUGUCUUUCUAUCCCAAAGCCCUGCUGUACUCUCUGACUUUGGUUUUCUGGGAUGCUCUAUUUAAUUGGUUGAACUGUGUUCUCCAAAGACAUGUGUUGAAAGCCCUAACUCCUCAGUACCCCAGAAUGUGACCUCUGUUGGAAAGAGGGUCGUUGCAGAUGUGAUUAGUGAAGAUGUCACACUGGAGUAGGGUGGCCCCUUAAUCUAAUAUGAUGAUUGUCCCUUAGAAGAAGAGGGAAAUUUGGGCACAGACCCAGCAGGAAGACCCCCUGUGACAAUGGAGGUAGAGAUGGAGUUUCCAUUUCAGUGUAUGUGCUGCGGAAGCAAGCCCAAGUUCGAGAUUGAAGUGAAGCCGCCACGGCUGCUAUAAGCCCAGGAACGCCUAGAGCUACAGGAAUACAGGAAAGGAAAGCACGGGUCCUUCCCCAGAGGAUUCUAAGCGGGUAUAGCGCUGCCAACCCCUUGAGUUUGGACAUCCGCCCUCAAGAACUGUGAGAGAAUAAAUAUCUCUUGUUUCAAGCCA
rnacentral:lncRNA from 13 species